rnacentral:tRNA from 1 species
UGUUCUGUGGCCUAGUUGGUUAAACUGCCGGAUAAGUGAUUCGGAGUCGUGGGUUUGAAUCCCACCAAAACAA